rnacentral:rRNA from 1 species
GGGUGCGAUUAUACCGACACAAAUGCACCGGAUCCAAUAGAACUCCACAGUUAAGCGUGUUUGGAGAGUAGUACUAGGAUGCGUGACCUCCUAGGAAGUCCUUGUGUUGCACCCC